rnacentral:piRNA from 1 species
UGGUAAAAUGGUACCUGGCUUACGU